rnacentral:rRNA from 2 species
CGCAGGCGGUGUGCCUAAUACAUGCAAGUCGAACGUGUUGGCCCAAUUGAUUGAUGGUGCUUGCACCUGAUUGAUUUUGGUCGCCAACGAGUGGCGGACGGGUGAGUAACACGUAGGUAACCUGCCCAGAAGCGGGGGACAACAUUUGGAAACAGAUGCUAAUACCGCAUAACAACGUUGUUCGCAUGAACAACGCUUAAAAGAUGGCUUCUCGCUAUCACUUCUGGAUGGACCUGCGGUGCAUUAGCUUGUUGGUGGGGUAACGGCCUACCAAGGCGAUGAUGCAUAGCCGAGUUGAGAGACUGAUCGGCCACAAUGGGACUGAGACACGGCCCAUACUCCUACGGGAGGCAGCAGUAGGGAAUCUUCCACAAUGGGCGCAAGCCUGAUGGAGCAACACCGCGUGAGUGAAGAAGGGUUUCGGCUCGUAAAGCUCUGUUGUUAAAGAAGAACACGUAUGAGAGUAACUGUUCAUACGUUGACGGUAUUUAACCAGAAAGUCACGGCUAACUACGUGCCAGCAGCCGCGGUAAUACGUAGGUGGCAAGCGUUAUCCGGAUUUAUUGGGCGUAAAGAGAGUGCAGGCGGUUUUCUAAGUCUGAUGUGAAAGCCUUCGGCUUAACCGGAGAAGUGCAUCGGAAACUGGAUAACUUGAGUGCAGAAGAGGGUAGUGGAACUCCAUGUGUAGCGGUGGAAUGCGUAGAUAUAUGGAAGAACACCAGUGGCGAAGGCGGCUACCUGGUCUGCAACUGACGCUGAGACUCGAAAGCAUGGGUAGCGAACAGGAUUAGAUACCCUGGUAGUCCAUGCCGUAAACGAUGAGUGCUAGGUGUUGGAGGGUUUCCGCCCUUCAGUGCCGGAGCUAACGCAUUAAGCACUCCGCCUGGGGAGUACGACCGCAAGGUUGAAACUCAAAGGAAUUGACGGGGGCCCGCACAAGCGGUGGAGCAUGUGGUUUAAUUCGAAGCUACGCGAAGAACCUUACCAGGUCUUGACAUCUUGCGCCAACCCUAGAGAUAGGGCGUUUCCUUCGGGAACGCAAUGACAGGUGGUGCAUGGUCGUCGU